GACGAACGCUGGCGGCGUGCUUAACACAUGCAAGUCGAACGAAGAGCGAUGGAAGCUUGCUUCUAUCAAUCUUAGUGGCGAACGGGUGAGUAACGCGUAAUCAACCUGCCCUUCAGAGGGGGACAACAGUUGGAAACGACUGCUAAUACCGCAUACGAUCUAAUCUCGGCAUCGAGGAUAGAUGAAAGGUGGCCUCUACAUGUAAGCUACCACUGAAGGAGGGGAUUGCGUCUGAUUAGCUAGUUGGAGGGGUAACGGCCCACCAAGGCGAUGAUCAGUAGCCGGUCUGAGAGGAUGAACGGCCACAUUGGGACUGAGACACGGCCCAGACUCCUACGGGAGGCAGCAGUGGGGAAUCUUCCGCAAUGGACGAAAGUCUGACGGAGCAACGCCGCGUGAGCGAUGACGGCCUUCGGGUUGUAAAGCUCUGUUAAUCGGGACGAAAGGCCUUCUUGCGAAUAGUGAGAAGGAUUGACGGUACCGGAAUAGAAAGCCACGGCUAACUACGUG
rnacentral:rRNA from 1 species